UACGUAGGGUGCAAGCGUUGUCCGGAAUUAUUGGGCGUAAAGAGCUCGUAGGCGGUUUGUCGCGUCUGCUGUGAAAACUCGGGGCUUAACCCCGGGCCUGCAGUGGGUACGGGCAGACUAGAGUGCGGUAGGGGAGACUGGAAUUCCUGGUGUAGCGGUGAAAUGCGCAGAUAUCAGGAGGAACACCGGUGGCGAAGGCGGGUCUCUGGGCCGUAACUGACGCUGAGGCACGAAAGCUAGGGGAGCAAACAGG
rnacentral:rRNA from 1 species